ACGCUGGCGGCAGGCUUAACACAUGCAAGUCGAACGGUAGCAGGAGAAAGCUUGCUUUCUUGCUGACGAGUGGCGGACGGGUGAGUAAUGCUUGGGAAUCUGGCUUAUGGAGGGGGAUAACUACGGGAAACUGUAGCUAAUACCGCGUAGUGUCGAGAGACGAAAGUGCGGGACCGCAAGGCCGCAUGCCAUGAGAUGAGCCCAAGUGGGAUUAGGUAGUUGGUGGGGUAAAGGCCUACCAAGCCUGCGAUCUCUAGCUGGUCUGAGAGGAUGGCCAGCCACACUGGAACUGAGACACGGUCCAGACUCCUACGGGAGGCAGCAGUGGGGAAUAUUGCGCAAUGGGGGGAACCCUGACGCAGCCAUGCCGCGUGAAUGAAGAAGGCCUUCGGGUUGUAAAGUUCUUUCGGUAUUGAGGAAGGAGUGUAUGUUAAUAGCAUACAUUAUUGACGUUAAAUACAGAAGAAGCACCGGCUAACUCCGUGCCAGCAGCCGCGGUAAUACGGAGGGUGCGAGCGUUAAUCGGAAUAACUGGGCGUAAAGGGCACGCAGGCGGUUAUUUAAGUGAGGUGUGAAAGCCCCGGGCUUAACCUGGGAAUUGCAUUUCAGACUGGGUAACUAGAGUACUUUAGGGAGGGGUAGAAUUCCACGUGUAGCGGUGAAAUGCGUAGAGAUGUGGAGGAAUACCGAAGGCGAAGGCAGCCCCUUGGGAAUGUACUGACGCUCAUGUGCGAAAGCGUGGGGAGCAAACAGGAUUAGAUACCCUGGUAGUCCACGCUGUAAACGCUGUCGAUUUGGGGAUUGGGCUUAAAGUCUGGCGCCCGUAGCUAACGUGAUAAAUCGACCGCCUGGGGAGUACGGCCGCAAGGUUAAAACUCAAAUGAAUUGACGGGGGCCCGCACAAGCGGUGGAGCAUGUGGUUUAAUU
rnacentral:rRNA from 1 species